rnacentral:misc_RNA from 1 species
CGUUUUCUUUGCAGGCGAUGGAAAUUCCUUCGACGACCGAAGCGGUAACUUCCGGUGCAAGCUUUCCGGUGGCGAAAUAAUCGAGAAAAAACAAAGGUCUUGCGCCUUGCACGAGAAUGUCGUUGACGCAGUGAUUAACGAGGUCUUGACCAAUUGUGUUAUGAAUACCCGUAUCGAAAGCGAUUUUUAGCUUUGUGCCGACGCCGUCAGCGGAAGCAACCAGAACGGGAGCGUGC